rnacentral:rRNA from 1 species
GAUGAACGCUGGCGGCGUGCCUAAUACAUGCAAGUCGAGCGAACAGACGAGGAGCUUGCUCCUCUGACGUUAGCGGCGGACGGGUGAGUAACACGUGGAUAACCUACCUAUAAGACUGGGAUAACUUCGGGAAACCGGAGCUAAUACCGGAUAAUAUAUUGAACCGCAUGGUUCAAUAGUGAAAGACGGUUUUGCUGUCACUUAUAGAUGGAUCCGCGCCGCAUUAGCUAGUUGGUAAGGUAACGGCUUACCAAGGCGACGAUGCGUAGCCGACCUGAGAGGGUGAGCGGCCACACGGGAACAGAGACACGUGCCAGACUCCUACGGGAGGCAGCAGUAGGGAAUCUUCCGCAAUGGGCGAAAGCCUGACGGAGAAAAGCCGCGUGAGUGAUGAGAGUCUUCGGAUCGUAAAACUCUGUUAUUAGGGAAGAACAAAUGUGUAAGUAACUAUGCAAGUCUUGACGGUACCUAAUCAGAAAGCCACGGCUAACUACGUG